UACGGAGGGUGCAAGCGUUGUCCGGAUUUAUUGGGUUUAAAGGGUGCGCAGGCGGAUAUGUAAGUCAGUGGUGAAAUCUCCGGGCUUAACCCGGAAACUGCCGUUGAUACUAUAUAUCUUGAAUGCUGUGGAGGUAAGCAGAAUAUGUCAUGUAGCGGUGAAAUGCUUAGAGAUGACAUAGAAUACCUAUUGCGAAGGCAGCUUACUACGCAGAUAUUGACGCUCAUGCACGAAAGCGUGGGGAUCAAACAGG
rnacentral:rRNA from 1 species